GAGGGUAUAGCUCAGUGGCGGAGCACAUGCUUAGCAUGCAUCAGGUCCUGGGUUUGAUCCCCAGUAUCUCCA
rnacentral:tRNA from 1 species